GACAAAGUAGGGACUGAUCUUUCUCAGGUGAAGUGUGAUCGACACAAGAGAAUAAAAUGGAGGUGCCCAGGUAUUGAGACCAGGCGCAAGUAAUACAAGUUAAUAAAUAUAAAUAAAAGACAAGUGACAUUAAGGGAAGCAUAACUAUAAAGCUACAAGGGGCAUAAAGACAGGUUAACUGCAGGGCUGAUCCUGGGUGGGCGCAGACUGUAGAUUGGCGUGGUGUUCUGCACUAGGCCCUGACCCCUACGUUAGUCCCCAUCCACUCUGCCACUUGGCACUGCUCACAAGGGGUGGGACCUAUGGAGAGGGUUGGGGUCUAUUUGAGGGGGUGUGAUUGGCACAGAACACCCCGCCUAUCUACAGAGCUCCUGGGUGGUCUGCACCCACUCAGGAUCGGCUCUGGUAAACGAAGAGGUGAAAAAUUAAAGGGUCA